AGUGGAAUGUAAAAGUGGAUUGCAAAAGAGCCCAAGGAAAAAUCUGUCCUUCUUCAAAUAAUGGAGUGUAAAUACAGUGCUUACUACUACGAAGCUCUUCCUGUAUUCUGCUCUCUGGAAGUGCUGCAUUUAUCCCAGAUCCUUCCCUGAUCAACUCAGAAGCAAUAUAGAAAACUGCCAGUUCAAAAUGAAAGUCUUGGGAGGGAAGCUAUUCAAAGCCAACAAGCAUGUCACAUUGUUUUUUCAGGAAAUCCAGAAUAGAAUUACUUUGAGUAUAUAUUUGAGCAUGCCAAAUUAGAGACAUCAGAUCAGAUUCUCCUUCUGUUAAAU